rnacentral:tRNA from 1 species
GACUUCUUGGUGUAGUUGGUUAUCACGUCUGUCUCACACACAGGAGGUCGCCAGUUCGAGUCUGGCAGGAGUCA